rnacentral:rRNA from 1 species
GAUGAACGCUGGCGGCGUGCCUAAUACAUGCAAGUCGAACGGCAGCACGGGGGGCAACCCUGGUGGCGAGUGGCGAACGGGUGAGUAAUGCAUCGGAACGUGCCCAGUAGUGGGGGAUAACCAGUCGAAAGAUUGGCUAAUACCGCAUACGACCUACGGGUGAAAGCGGGGGGACCGUAAGGCCUCGCGCUAUUGGAGCGGCCGAUGUCUGAUUAGCUAGUUGGCGGGGUAAGAGCCCACCAAGGCGACGAUCAGUAGCUGGUCUGAGAGGACGACCAGCCACACUGGGACUGAGACACGGCCCAGACUCCUACGGGAGGCUG